rnacentral:rRNA from 1 species
GAUUGAACGCUGGCGGUAUGCUUAACACAUGCAAGUCGAACGGAAACGAUACUAGCUUGCUAGUAGGCGUCGAGUGGCGGACGGGUGAGUAACGCGUAGGAAUCUGCCUGAUAGUGGGGGAUAGCCCGAAGAAAUUCGGAUUAAUACCGCAUAAUCUAUUCGUAGUAAAGUGGGGGACUUUCGAGCCUCACGCUAUCAGAUGAGCCUGCGUAAGAUUAGCUUGUUGGUAGGGUAAAAGCCUACCAAGGCGACGAUCUUUAGCUGGUCUGAGAGGAUGAUCAGCCACAUCGGGACUGAGACACGGCCCGAACUCCUACGGGAGGCAGCAGUGGGGAAUAUUGGACAAUGGGGGCAACCCUGAUCCAGCAAUACCGCGUGUGUGAAGAAGGCCUGAGGGUUGUAAAGCACUUUCAAUUGUGAAGAAAAGUUAGCGGUUAAUAACCGUUAGCCUUGACGUUAACUUUAGAAGAAGCACCGGCUAACUCCGUGCCAGCAGCCGCGGUAAUACGGAGGGUGCAAGCGUUAAUCGGAAUUACUGGGCGUAAAGCGUGCGUAGGUGGUUUAUUAAGUCAGAUGUGAAAGCCCCGGGCUUAACCUGGGAACUGCAUUUGAAACUGGUCAACUAGAGUAUGGUAGAGGAAAGUGGAAUUUCUGGUGUAGCGGUGAAAUGCGUAGAUAUCAGAAGGAACAUCAAUGGCGAAGGCAGCUUUCUGGACCAAUACUGACACUGAGGUACGAAAGCGUGGGUAGCAAACAGGAUUAGAUACCCUGGUAGUCCACGCCGUAAACGAUGAUAACUAGCCGUUGGGGGGAUUUACCCUUUAGUGGCGAAGCUAACGCGUUAAGUUAUCCGCCUGGGGAGUACGGCCGCAAGGUUAAAACUCAAAGGAAUUGACGGGGACCCGCACAAGCGGUGGAGCAUGUGGUUUAAUUCGAUGCAACGCGAAGAACCUUACCUGGUCUUGACAUCCUGCGAACUUUCUAGAAAUAGAUUGGUGCCUUCGGGAACGCAGUGACAGGUGCUGCAUGGCUGUCGUCAGCUCGUGUCGUGAGAUGUUGGGUUAAGUCCCGUAACGAGCGCAACCCCUAUCCUUAUUUGCCAGCACAUCAUGGUGGGAACUAUAAGGAGACUGCCGGUGAUAAACCGGAGGAAGGCGGGGACGACGUCAAGUCAUCAUGGCCCUUACGACCAGGGCUACACACGUGCUACAAUGGGAAGGACAAAGAGCCGCGAAGCCGCGAGGUGUAGCUAAUCUCAUAAACCUUUUCGUAGUCCGGAUUGGAGUCUGCAACUCGACUCCAUGAAGUCGGAAUCGCUAGUAAUCGUAGAUCAGAAUGCUACGGUGAAUACGUUCCCGGGUCUUGUACACACCGC